ensembl:lncRNA
UUCUGAUCGUAUGUAGAUGGAGGUGGUGGAGUAAUAACAUUAUUAUGUUUAUUAUUAUUAUUAUUAUUAUUAUUAUUAUUAUUUGUCUCAUCAUAGACAUUCAAAUCAAAUGCCCAUGUAGUUGUAAACCUUCAAUGAUCAUUUUACUUGAAAUAAAUGUGUUGGUUUGAAGUUUGUAAGUUGGACUGAGUUUUGAAGCUGCCAGCUUCCUGUGCCACCUGGAAAGUGCACAUCAUGAAGCAGGGAGGAAAAUAUUGAGUCUGUCAAAAAAGAGCCAGUGCUGAAAUACUAUUCCAAAAGGUAUGUGUGAUAAAAGGCAUUGUGGAGAAGCGAUGCCAGCCAGCAAACAGAUCUUUGUGGUGAAAAAUAAAAGUUUUGUGUGUCUAUCUAUCUAUCUAUCUAUCUAUCUAUCUAUCUAUCUAUAUUUAUAACAGUUAUUUUAUAUAUAGCAGCUAAAAAUGUCGCUUCCAUUAGACCAUUACCCCAUGCAAAUCUUAAAGAUUCAGAGGUCCAUGCUUGUUCUACAGCUGAUUCCGCAGGUUUUAUAUGGGGAUUGGGUUGGGGAACUGCUGUGACUGCUAUGACCCAAAAUUUUCAAGUGAUAGUUCACCCAAAAAUUGAAAUUUGCUGUCAAUUUUCUCAAAGCACGAUGAAGAUUAUCAUUAGAUACCAUGAGUGCAGGUACUUUUUCAUGUGUCAUUUGAUUAAUAGAAUAAUCCCUGGGUAACGUCCUCAUACAUUGUUGUCUCAGGUGGGAAUCAAAAGUGAAGUAUUGAUUAAUGGGAAGAGGCAUGGAAAUGGUAAUCUCCACUUUUGAAAUUCAUGACCUAAUUUUUUUGCACUAGGUUUAACUUCCACCACUUCUUAGGACCUGGUUCUCUCAUUUCUUAUCUCUAGUAAUAGAAUAGUUCUGUCAAGUCACCACAUAGUUCCUCUGAGUCACACACACACACACACACACACACACACACACACAUAUAUAUAUAAUGCCUUUGGAAUUUGAAGCUGUCUUAUAGAAUAACUAAUAGUGGGAAGUGCAAAUCAGUGGCAAAUGUGAAAUGUAAAAUUCUCCUCAUACCUCAGGUUCAGGUAUUCUCCCUUUUAGAAAAAUAUUCAGUAUUUACUUGCAAGGUCAGCAGCUAUUUCCUCCAUUAGAGUUAGAGAUGAUAAUGUGUUAUAUUAUUUGUAUUUAGUUCAGUCAUUUAAUAUUCCUUUUGAGUUCAGAAAUUCACAACAACAAAAAGUUGUAGGCAUCAGGUGACCUUGGACAACAUGCCUGUUGAUCAGAAACUGUGCUCUGCUUUCAGAUAUGAAUAUUAGUAAUUACUGAUCAAUAAUUGACAGUUGAGAGAUAAAAUAUUUUGAAGUCAGUGUUUUGGUGUCCAAAUUGCAUUGUUGCUUGUUUGUCAUAUAAGAUUUCUUAAGAUACUGUAUAAAAUAGUGGGAGGCCUACAGAUAUCUACUAUUAACCUCUUUGCUGUCAACCCCCAUUUUUGGCAUGGAGACACAAAUGACAUACCCAAAAUAAAAAGGUUGCUGCUCAUCAGUCUUUCUGACUAGAUACAUAAUCAACAUAUGUUAAAAAAGUUGACACUUCAAAGUUUACUGUU